AUACGGUCACAUCACGUUCGAAGACUAGUUCCCGUACAAUUACGGAAGUUAAACAACGUCGAGCUGGCUUAGUACCCAGAUGGGUGACCACUUUAGAAUAACAGGUGUUGUAAG